ACUCGAGUGGCGAACGGGUGAGUAACACGUGGGUGAUCUGCCCUGCACUCUGGGAUAAGCCUGGGAAACUGGGUCUAAUACCGGGUAGGACCAUGCUUUAGUGUGUGUGGUGGAAAGUUUUUCGGUGUAGGAUGAGCCCGCGGCCUAUCAGCUUGUUGGUGGGGUAAUGGCCUACCAAGGCGGCGACGGGUAGCCGGACUGAGAGGUUGGUCGGCCACAUUGGGACUGAGAUACGGCCCAG
rnacentral:rRNA from 1 species